rnacentral:rRNA from 1 species
UACAGAGGUCCCAAGCGUUGUUCGGAUUCACUGGGCGUAAAGGGUGCGUAGGCGGGUCGUUAAGUCAGGGGUGAAAUCCUAGAGCUCAACUCCAGAACUGCCUUUGAUACUGAAGAUCUUGAGUUCGGGAGAGGUGAGUGGAACUGCGAGUGUAGAGGUGAAAUUCGUAGAUAUUCGCAAGAACACCAGUGGCGAAGGCGGCUCACUGGCCCGAUACUGACGCUGAGGCACGAAAGCGUGGGGAGCAAACAGG